rnacentral:rRNA from 1 species
AUUGAACGCUGGCGGCAGGCCUAACACAUGCAAGUCGAGCGGAUGAAGCGAGCUUGCUCCUGGAUUCAGCGGCGGACGGGUGAGUAAUGCCUAGGAAUCUGCCUGGUAGUGGGGGAUAACGUCCGGAAACGGGCGCUAAUACCGCAUAAGUCGUGAGGGAGAAAGAGGGGGAUCUUCGGACCUCACGCUAUCAGAUGAGCCUAGGUCGGAUUAGCUAGUUGGUGGGGUAAAGGCCUACCAAGGCGACGAUCCGUAACUGGUCUGAGAGGAUGAUCAGUCACACUGGAACUGAGACACGGUCCCGACUCCUACGGGAGGCAGCAGUCGGGAAUAUUGGACAAUGGGCGAAAGCCUGAUCCAGCCAUGCCGCGUGUGUUAAGAAGGUCUUCGGAUUGUAAAGCACUUUAAGUUGGGAGGAAGGUCAGUAAGUUAAUACCUUGCUGUUUUGACGUUACCAGCAGAAUAAGCACCGGCUAACUUCGUG